UAAAAAAUGUUUCUUGACCAGUUGCCUACAGCUGAUGAGCUCCAGUAAGAGCGAAACCAGUUCUCACUUCACUGAAACAAUUUAGAAGUGUGAAUUGGUCCUGUAGUACUGUGUCAGAAACAAACA
rfam:Myotis brandtii contig256086, whole genome shotgun sequence.